rnacentral:rRNA from 1 species
AUUGAACGCUGGCGGCAGGCCUAACACAUGCAAGUCGAACGGUAACAGGAAGAAGCUUGCUUCUUUUCUGACGAGGAGCGGACGGGUGAGUAAUGUCUGAGAAACUGCCGGAUGGAGGGGGAUAACUACUGGAAACGGUAGCUAAUAGCGCAUAACGUCUCAAGACCAAAGGGGGUGGGCUUGGGUCGUCUGUCCGUCGGGUAUUCCCAGAUUGUAUUAGCUAGUAGGGGGGGUUACGGGUCACAUGGGCGAGCAGCGCUAGACCGUCUGAGAGGAUGAGCAGCGACCUUGGAGCUGGGACAGCGUCCAGACUACUGCGGUACGCAGCAGUGGGGAAUAUUGGACAAUGGGCGCAAGCCUGAUGCAGCGAUGCCGCGUGUAUUACGACGGCCUUCGGGUUGUAAAGUACUUUCAGCGGGGAGGAAGCGCGUACAGUUAAUACCUUUGCUCAUUGACGUUACCCGCAGAAGAAGCACCGGCUAACUACGUG